UUUUUUGCUUGGAUCAUUUCCAAUCAUUGCCAUCUCUCACAAUUCUUUUCUCCUUCUUCUCAUCUCACAAUUCUUUUCUCCUUCUUCUCAAGGUUUUCUCUAUUUCAGGAUUAAAAUAAUGCUAUUCGUUCUCAAGAAUACCUUUACUCAUAAACUAGCAACAAACCUAAAUAAAAAAUAAAAAAAACAACUAAGUAAGCUAAAACUAACAAAAUUAAAUAAAU
rnacentral:lncRNA from 1 species